UUUAGGAUGAUGUAAAAAAUAUUCUGAACUUGAAUUUGUGGCUAAAAGUGAUCAUUCAAUCAAUAUUUUCCGACUAAA